AUUUAUCACACUUCGCAUAUUAUAAAUUAAUUAAAAUUAAUCUAAUUAACAUUAAAUUUAAUCUAACAAAAUAAUUAAUAAAUAAAUAAAAUAGCGAGAACGAGAGUGGACGGUAGUGGUCGGCAGUGGAGCGGUGGUGGUGGCGGCAGCGGCAUCGGCAUCGGCAUCAUCUAACUGAGACGAUAAAGAAAGAAAAUGAGAUGUGAAAGUGAGAGAGAAAGAGGACCUGCAGGGGUGGCUAGCCGGCGGCGCGCGGCUGGGUGAAAAGGG
rnacentral:lncRNA from 1 species